GAAAUGCGAUAAGUAAUGUGAAUUGCAGAAUUCAGUGAAUCGUCGAAUCUUUGAACGCACAUUGCGCCCUUUGGUAUUCCAAAGGGCAUGCCUGUUCGAGCGUCAUUUGUACCCUCAAGCUUUGCUUGGUGUUGGGCGUUUUUGUCUUUGGCCCGCCAAAGACUCGCCUUAAAAUGAUUGGCAGCCGGCCUACUGGUUUCGCAGCGCAGCACAUUUUUGCGCUUGCAAUCAGCAAAAGAGGACGGCAAUCCAUCAAGACUCCUUCUCACGUUUGACCUCGGAUCAGGUAGGGAUACCCGCUGAACUUAAGC
rnacentral:misc_RNA from 1 species